rnacentral:lncRNA from 1 species
UUUCUGACCCUCACUGAAAGCGACCUGAAGGAAAUUGGCAUCACGUUGUUUGGGCCCAAAAGGAAAAUGACCUCUGCCAUUGCCCGAUGGCACAGUAGUGCCCGCCCACCUAGUGAUGCCCUAGAGCUGGCCUAUGCUGACCGGCUGGAGGCGGAGAUGCAGGAGCUUGCCAUCCAGCUGCACAAAUGCUGUGAGGAGGCAGAGGCUCUGCGUGGCCAAGUCUCCCAGGAGCAGGAAUUGCGGGCUGUAGUAGAGAGCUGCCUCCUGGAGCAGGAUAGUGCCCGAAAGGACAUCCAUGCCCAGCUGCAGGAGGCCCAAACCCUGGCCCAGGAUGCUGCUCUUGUCCUAGACCAGCUGCGGGCCUGUCAAGCUGAGUUGUCAGCUCGAUUGAAGCAGCACCACUCCCCCAGCGAAGCUACCCAAAACCCACCCUUUCUCCCAGCAGGCCUUGAGCCUCCCUGAGUUGUCAGGAGCCCUGGAAGACCGUGUCCAUGAGAUGGGCAUUAUGCUCCGUAACGCAGAGCCUGGAGAAACUACAGAUGCUGAAUGGGAAGAAAUGGAGGGAACCAUAGCCAGGAGGGACGAUUCUGACGUUGGGUGACGAAUCCACCCUGAAGUUAUGUGCCACGCAAGACAGGGCAGUGAGCAGAUGGCUGCGGCAGCCCAGGGAAUAGAAGACCAGCCCAGGGAGCAGCUUGUGGACAGGAGGACAGGACUUCAGUCCUCACUAGGGCAGCUUGGGCCAGCCCUGAGACAGGAUGAAGGGCCUAGCACCCAGAUUCUGGUGGAGAGGCCCAUGCUGGUAGGCAGAGGCAGCUUUGGCUCAGACCAGGCAGGGCCGUAUGGAGAGGCUAAGUCCUGCACAUGUAGGGGCCACACUGAAGUCUGAUUUUACAGUCGAAGUCUGGGGUGCCUAGAAAAUGUACUCUUUGAAAAUAAAAUUAGACGCAAGUU